ACGAACGCUGGCGGCGUGCUUAACACAUGCAAGUCGAACGGAAAGGCCCUGCUUGCCGGGUACUCGAGUGGCGAACGGGUGAGUAACACGUGGGUGAUCUGCCCUGCACUUCGGGAUAAGCCUGGGAAACUGGGUCUAAUACCGGAUAGGAGCCAUUUUUAGUGUGAUGGUUGGAAAGUUUUUUCGGUGUAGGAUGAGCUCGCGGCCUAUCAGCUUGUUGGUGGGGUAAUGGCCUACCAAGGCGGCGACGGGUAGCCGGCCUGAGAGGGUGGACGGCCACAUUGGGACUGAGAUACGGCCCAGACUCCUACGGGAGGCAGCAGUGGGGAAUAUUGCACAAUGGGCGCAAGCCUGAUGCAGCGACGCCGCGUGGGGGAUGACGGCCUUCGGGUUGUAAACUCCUUUCGCUAGGGACGAAGCUUUUUGUGACGGUACCUAGAGAAGAAGCACCGGCUAACUACGUG
rnacentral:rRNA from 1 species